AAGUUGUGUGAGGAGAGCAUUCAGCCCAGCUUCCUGUCUGGCCUUGCUACUGUUCACUGCAUAUUAUUACAUAUUCAAUCAGGAGGAGCCAGCCUGCACCUUGGAGUUCAUUUAAAGAGAGGAACAAAGAAGAAAAUUGCCAUCUAAAAGGACAGGGCAAAUGGUACAGAAGAAACAGGUUGCAGUGAACCCACAUGUUGCCACUCUUCCCUGCAAAGUGGUGUGUUCAGUGGAAUUUCUGAAAUCCACUCUUUGCAUCCUGUGAUGGAACAGCAUCCGGAGCUGAAUUAUUCUCCAUUUUUGAUCAUACGUGUUUUGGACUCACUUGGGGCCUUGUUGUUUGGACAUGUUUGUCUGGGAACGAAGAGGUGACAAUUCAUUCAUGUCUGUUUUUUCUUUGUUUUUUUUUUCAGAACCAUUUUAUUAUGAUCAUGUUGGUCAACUUGUUGUUUUAAAUGUCAUUUGCGUAUUUCUUCUUUGUGUGAAGGGCCCUGAUGGCUUAUUUGUUUUAAGUAAUUAAAAA